CGGGACCCGAAAGAUGGU
rnacentral:siRNA from 1 species